GACGAACGCUGGCGGCGUGCUUAACACAUGCAAGUCGAACGAAGUGGCGACCGGGUGAGUAACGCGUAAUCAACAUGCCCUUCAGAGGGGGACAACAGUUGGAAACGGUGGCUAAUAACGCAUACUGACGGAUGAACCCAUAUGGGAUUAGCUAGUAGGUAAGGUAAUGGCUUACAUAGGCGACGAUCCCUAGCUGGUCUGAGAGGAUGAUCAGCCACACUGGGACGUAGAAACGGCCCAGACUCCUACGGGAGGCAGCAGUGGGGAAUCUUCCGCCAGGGACGAAAGGCUGACGGAGCAACGCCGCGUUAGUUAUGACGGCCUUCGGGUUGUAAAGCUCUGUUAAUCGGGACGCGGUACCGGAAUAGAAAGCCACGGCUAACUACGUGCCAGCAGCCGCGGUAAUUC
rnacentral:rRNA from 1 species